rnacentral:lncRNA from 10 species
CUUCACAAGUGUUCCGAUCGGAAGGGAGCCCUUUGAGUAAGUGAAAUGAAGCGUGAAUAACUGCCUAAUUAGUGGACAUGAAAACUGGACAGUCUCCAAAGUCAUCAGAGAUGACCACGCUUGCCAGGCAACUUACUAGACUAAGGUGAGGAUGCAGUGGCCAGAAGAGGCAGCCCAGGGAAGAUCUGAGGUGAACCCUCUGGUUGGAAAGCCUUGGCAAAUUGGAGGAAUGAAAAGAAAAAAGAGUAAAUCUACAACAAGGAUCAGCAAACUCCAGUCUACAGGCCAA